UAAAAGUGUUGUUAUUUAGGCCUGGGAUAGAGAUGAGACGAGGUUUGUGGCAAGACGGAGUGCUCGACACCAAUUGUCUUAUUCCCGCACAUUGGAAUUGGACAUACCAGUUUCAAGUUAAAGAUCAAAUCGGUAGCUAUUAUUAUGUCCCGUCUAUCAAUUUUCAAUGGGCUGCAGGUGGUUUUCGUGGGUUUAUAAUCACAAACCGUAAGGUUAUCAUGCUUCCGUUUAAUACCCCUGAUGGCGAUAUUGUCAUUACCCAUUGGCGAUUGGUAUACUCGUGAUCAUAAGGUUGAAAUACAUAUGUACGUGAGCGUGUCUACAUAGAGUCACAAAUCAGACAGACAAUACAUUUGGCAAGCAUCAGCUCAUACGUAAUUAAAGAAGAAACUGACCCCGAAAAGCAGCUUUGCCGUGGGACAGAAAUAACACUUUACUUGAAGCCUAUCAGUGCCAAAGCUCAAGCCCAAAGGAAGGUUGCUAGAGAGACAAAGACUAAUGUCAUUUACAUCAAUGGGAACCCAACAUUUUGUUUACGGCAGAACAAUGCAGGAUAUUUUCAAAGAUUACGAGUAUGAAGUUUAUGAUUACAACUUUGUUGAUGACGUGUCUGCAGCCUUAUAAUCAUGUAAGUUUUUUGUGGUCCAAAUGAAAUAAACCAAAAGAAACAUUAAAUAUUUUUGUGUUCAUAUAGCCAUAUCUCAAACAGCAGCAACCAGUUUCUUUUUAGGCUCACGAAGGACAUUUAGAAGAUUUUGGUGGAAGGGUUAUGCAAAUGGGAUGGUGCACUAUCAAAGUUAACAAAAAUUAAAUCAAAAUAAACCAGUUUUUAGAACAUGUUGAAUUGCCAUGUAAAUAUAUUGAUUUACAGCUAAGAAUGAAUAUUGAUAAAUUAAAGAAUUCAUGGUUUUGCUA